UGGGGAAUUUUGGACAAUGGGCGAAAGCCUGAUCCAGCAAUGCCGCGUGUGUGAAGAAGGCCUUCGGGUUGUAAAGCACUUUUGUCCGGAAAGAAAUCCUUGGCUCUAAUACAGUCGGGGGAUGACGGUACCGGAAGAAUAAGCACCGGCUAACUACGUGCCAGCAGCCGCGGUAAUACGUAGGGUGCAAGCGUUAAUCGGAAUUACUGGGCGUAAAGCGUGCGCAGGCGGUUUGCUAAGACCGAUGUGAAAUCCCCGGGCUCAACCUGGGAACUGCAUUGGUGACUGGCAGGCUAGAGUAUGGCAGAGGGGGGUAGAAUUCCACGUGUAGCAGUGAAAUGCGUAGAGAUGUGGAGGAAUACCGAUGGCGAAGGCAGCCCCCUGGGCCAAUACUGACGCUCAUGCACGAAAGCGUGGGGAGCAAACAGGAUUAGAUACCCUGGUAGUCCACGCCCUAAACGAUGUCAACUAGUUGUUGGGGAUUCAUUUCCUUAGUAACGUAGCUAACGUGUGAAGUUGACCGCCUGGGGAGUACGGUCGCAAGAUUAAAACUCAAAUGAAUUG
rnacentral:rRNA from 1 species